rnacentral:rRNA from 1 species
GACGAACGCUGGCGGCAGGCCUAACACAUGCAAGUCGAGCGAAGCCUUCGGGCUUAGCGGCGGACGGGUGAGUAACGCGUGGGAACGUGCCCUUGGUACGGAAUAGCCCCGGGAAACUGGGAGUAAUACCGUAUGUGGUCGAGAGACGAAAGAUUUAUCGCCAAAGGAUCGGCCCGCGUUGGAUUAGGUAGUUGGUGGGGUAAUGGCCUACCAAGCCGACGAUCCAUAGCUGGUUUGAGAGGAUGAUCAGCCACACUGGGACUGAGACACGGCCCAGACUCCUACGGGAGGCAGCAGUGGGGAAUCUUAGACAAUGGGGGAAACCCUGAUCUAGCCAUGCCGCGUGAUCGAUGAAGGCCUUAGGGUUGUAAAGAUCUUUCAGUGGGGAAGAUAAUGACUGUACCCACAGAAGAAGCCCCGGCUAACUCCGUGCCAGCCGCCGCCGUAAGAC